UUCCUGAGUGGUCCCUGAGGCUUUGGGGUUUACUGGCCUUAACACUCAGAGGUCUAGCUGGUCCUUGACUGACCCCACAACUGCUUACUACUAUUUUUCUGUGGAUGAAAAAUGUUGGUCAUCUUCCCAUAGUGCUUUGGGUUAUUUUUAUUUUGUUGAUGCCAGGGAUCAAACUCGGGACCUCAUACAUGUGAAACAUAAUGCUCUUUCGUACCACUGAGCUACAUUCCUGGUCUGUUUUUAUACUUUUUUCUCUCUUUCCAUUUUUUAUGUCCACUCGAUAGUCUCCAUUUCUUCUGUAUUGAGGCCAAGUCAUAGGACUUUGAGAUUUUCAUCUUUCUGGUUCUGUAGUUCACACCAACUCUCCUAAGGAACAGAGAGGCAGAAAGGAGAUCGUGCGUUUCAACUGGAAAGUUACUGUCUCUACUUUCACAGUCUGAAUUUGAGGACCUAAAAUAUACUAUUGUGUAAUCACAGGAAAAGUCCAGCAAUUGCUUUGUCACUAGAAUGUAGUGUUGUUCACAAGGAAGAUCCUUUUAUGCCCUUACCUCAGUAUCCUAGUUUUGGUUUUGGAAGAAAAGGUAGAGUGUUGGGGACUGUUUUCUCGGGUAUUGACCACUUAUGUCUGGACAGUGAAUAGCUCCAACAUGCAUCCAGAUUCAUGCUGGCUUGAAUCUACUCUUAAGAAUUAUGUUCUCAAAAGGAGAGCUGUUACUAACUUGCACUCUGAGUUGGGAGAAUUGAGGUACAUUCAUAUUGAGCUCUCCAUGCCCCAGGCUCAGUGGUGUAGAUCAGCAUUUCGACUCAUAAUUUUUGACUUUGAGGCAUCAAGAUCAAAAGAUGCAAUCCCUGACCUCAGGGAAUGUUCACAUUGUUGUGGAAUGAACUAUUAGUCAUUCUGUUAAAAGCAGUAACUGGAUACAUUCUUGAUUGGGGGCCAGAAACAACUCUGAGGUUGAUAGUUUGUGACCCUAAAUGAAGAGGGUGGUGUUCAGUUUAGUGUAGGAAUGACACUCUGAUCUUGAAUAAACUGGACUUACUAUCUAUAGACCACAAGGACUUGUUUUAUUCCAUAAAAUAAGACAAAGGUUAGUUAGAAAAAAUCCUGCUAUGACUGAGAGAAAACAGGUGAUAGGGAUUGAAAUGUUCUGAUUUGGGUCCCAAUUUUAGAUUCUUUCCAAAGUGUUUAAUAGCAAAGUUAAUUCUUGCUGUGGAAAGAACUGUGGUAGAUACAGUUACGUGUUACUGUAACAUUUGUAGGUCCUCUGAGUCCCUCGUUCCUCUUUUAGUGGCUCAUGCCUUUUGGAGGAACUUUAACUUGGAACUGGCUUUAAGCCUAAAAUAGAGACAAACUUAGGAGUGGUAACAGUUACUCAAAAGAAGGCUUGGAAGCAGCUUGGUUUUUGGUCUGUUAACAUCUGGACAAAUAUUUUGAGUAGUUUCAUUCAUCACUGCAAACUGUUUCUAAGCAGAUAUUGGUGUCAGUUAUGUGGAAAUCUGUCCCCAAAAUACACACACACACACACACAUACACACACACACACACACACACACACACACACACACACACACACGAAUCAUUAGGUCUAAGUGACGGCCUGGGGAUAUACUGUCAAAAACCUAACAAAUUUUGGAAUUAUGACUCGGAACCACAGGGAAAAAAAUCCAAUUCUCUGGAAGUCAGGAUUCCCAGGAACUAGAGUAAUUCCUGGACAAUUUAAGUGUGAAGUUUCUUUGGAUAGCUUCAUAAAAAUGUUCUAGUCUCUUUCGGCUUGUACUGGAUUUCUUGAAUUUUAAUCUACCUCAUCUUUUCUUUAGUUAUUUCAACUUGUUAUUGUCACUUUAAUGUCAUCUUGACUUUGCUUUUGUUUUUUCCCUGUUCAGUGAUAGCACACUCUUCUCUUUGCCUUUUCAUUCAGCUUCUCCUUUUACUGAGUAGAUCACAUUGUCUAUCCACCAGAGAAAUGUUUGGUAGUAGUUUUACAUUCUGUUUUGAGUGGCUGGAGAGAUAGGGUGUUUGUCUUGCAUGAUCACGACUUGGGAUUUGAUCCCUGGAACCCCACAUGGUCCCCCAAACUUUGACCCUGAGCAUACCAGCAGUUAGCCCUGGUCACCAGGUGUUGUUCAAAAACUAAAACAAAUCUUGGGUCAGGGGGAGAAAAUCAUCCCUAACACUAUUUGUCUUUGAGGUUAGUAAGAGAAAGAGUUAAAACAAGCAGAUGGGGGAGGGACCGACCUAUAUGGAGGUUGCUGACAAGGGAAGAGCCAUUAAUUAAGAUAAUUUCAAAGUCAACCGAUUGUGAUCAUUAAUGUCACAAUAGAUCAAAACCUAAUUAUCACAACCUAGAUAAGAGCCAUCAGUAUUAAUCGGAAAAUCUAAUAGGAAACUAUUAUCAAGAAAUUAGACCAAAUUGAAUGCAGUGAACUUUUUAUCUUGUCAUUCUCUCCUUUUUUGCAUGUGAUGUCUCCUGGCAUUGGCUGCAUGACCCUUAGAGUUGACCCAGUUCCCAGUGGCCAGUUUGUCGCAUACUGUGGAAUCCAGACACAGAUUUAACCUGAACUGUCAUUGCUGCUUUCAUCAGCUUUAAAUCAUCUGGAUGUCCUCGCUGUGAUCAGCAAUCAGCGAGGGAGGGUUUAUAUUCUAUCUCAGUUUUAGGAUGAUUGGUAACACUGGUGAAUGUUAUAUGGCAUAGACAGAGGUAGAUGAAUGGAUAGGUGGGUAGUUAGGUAGGUAAAUAGAUAGAUAUAGCAUUCUUACUCUUCUGUUCAAUGUAGGAGCCUCCUGUCUGGAGAUUCCUUGAGAAGGCCUGAGAGCCCACUGCUGACUGUUGUUUUCUCCUUCCCCCCAUCCCCACUUUUGGGAUCAAGGGACAUUAGGAUUUCCACCAGAGUCCAGGGUAAAUCCAAAGUGUGGGUGGUGAUGCUCUUUUUGUUUUUAAUAUCUUUUUUUCUUAAUUGCAAUUUAGAUCGCUUUUGUUUUAUCUUUGCCUUUCUUUUGUGAAAGAGUUAUGCCUCAAGAUGAGUAAAGAAUUAUUCUACAAGA